AUGAUUACAAGCACUAGAGCGAGCCGAAGGCAUCCGGCGUCAUCAACCCUUCCUCAUCGAAGUCGGACAAACCUUGUUGUAGUAGACAGUCGGAAAAUCAUUGUGCUAAGGCCGAACAAGACCAGCUCACCAAAACAUCAACCGCCGCCGAUGCAAAGAAGUGUAGAUCGAAAGGAUCCAACUUGUAGACACACGAUGACACAAGUGAAGACCGGAUUCAAGUGGAUCCACCGUAGACAAACACCAACCGAAUUUCGUGUGAUCCGUCGGAUACACAACUCCCACUAUGCUAGACGCGCUAGAACUUUGUAG
rnacentral:rRNA from 1 species